rnacentral:tRNA from 1 species
GGGGCUGUAGCUCAGCUGGGAGAGCACCUGCUUUGCACGCAGGGGGUCAGGAGUUCGAUUCUNCUCAGCUCCACCA